GACAGAGGGGGCUAGCGUUGCUCGGAAUCACUGGGCGUAAAGGGUGCGUAGGCGGGUCUUUAAGUCAGGGGUGAAAUCCUGGAGCUCAACUCCAGAACUGCCUUUGAUACUGAAGAUCUUGAGUUCGGGAGAGGUGAGUGGAACUGCGAGUGUAGAGGUGAAAAUUCGUAGAUAUUCGCAAGAACACCAGUGGCGAAGGCGGCUCACUGGCCCGAUACUGACGCUGAGGCACGAAAGCGUGGGAGCAACAGGG
rnacentral:rRNA from 1 species